rnacentral:rRNA from 1 species
GGGGAUAACAGCCGGAAACGGCUGCUAAUACCGCAUAAGCGCACAAAGACCGCAUGGUCUGGUGUGAAAAACUCCGGUGGUAUGAGAUGGGCCCGCGUCUGAUUAGCCAGUUGGCGGGGUAGAGGCCCACCAAAGCGACGAUCAGUAGCCGACCUGAGAGGGUGACCGGCCACAUUGGGACUGAGACACGGCCCAAACUCCUACGGGAGGCAGCAGUGGGGAAUAUUGCACAAUGGGGGAAACCCUGAUGCAGCGACGCCGCGUGAGCGAAGAAGUAUUUCGGUAUGUAAAACUCUAUCAGCAGGGAAGAUAAUGACGGUACCUGACUAAGAAGCACCGGCUAAAUACGUGCCAGCAGCCGCGGUAAUACGUAUGGUGCAAGCGUUAUCCGGAUUUACUGGGUGUAAAGGGAGCGCAGGCGGUACGGCAAGUCUGAUGUGAAAGCCCAGGGCUCAACCCUGGUACUGCAUUGGAAACUGCCGGACUAGAGUGUCGGAGGGGUAAGUGGAAUUCCUAGUGUAGCGGUGAAAUGCGUAGAUAUUAGGAGGAACACCAGUGGCGAAGGCGGCUUACUGGACGAUGACUGACGCUGAGGCUCGAAAGCGUGGGGAGCAAACAGGAUUAGAUACCCUGGUAGUCCACGCCGUAAACGAUGAA